AACGGCCGCGGUAUCCUAACCGUGCAAAGGUAGCGCAAUCAAUUGUCCCAUAAAUCGAGACUUGUAUGAACGGCCAAACGAGGCCUUAGCUGUCUCCUGCAGACAAUCAGUGAAACUGAUCUCCCUGUACAAAAGCAGGGAUAAACACAUAAGACAAGAAGACCCUGUGGAACUUAAAAAUCAAUAGCCACCCUACACUACCCCAAAACCUACUAGGCUUACCACCCCAAACGUUGGCUAACAUUUUUAGGUUGGGGCGACCCUGGAGAAAAACAAACCCUCCAAAAACAAGGCCAAACCCCUUAACCAAGAGCAACCCCUCAACGUACCAACAGUACCCAGACCCAAUAAAAUUGACCAAUGAACCAAGCUACCCCAGGGAUAACAGCGCAAUCUCCCCCAAGAGUCCAUAUCGACGAGGAGGUUUACGACCUCGAUGUUGGAUCAGGACAUCCUAGUGGUGCAGCCGCUACUAAGGGUUCGUUUGUUCAACGAUUAACAGUCCUACGUGAUCUGAGUUCAGACCGGAGCAAUCCAGGUCGGUUUCUAUCUAUGACCAAUCCUCCCUAGUACGAAAGGACCGGAAGGAUGGGGCCAAUACCCCUAGCACGCCCCCUCCCUAAGUGAUGCCCACAACUAAAUCACCAAAGGACUACACACUCCCCCCACCGAAAAUGGUU
rnacentral:rRNA from 1 species